rnacentral:sRNA from 1 species
AGCUAUGAAGGAGUGAUUGAGCCAUAC